GUAGGGGGCGAGCGUUAUCCGGAUUUACUGGGCGUAUAGAGCUCGUAGGCGGGGCCUCAAGUCAAAUGUGAAAGCUCCCGGCUUAACUGGGAGAGGUCGUUUGAUACUGGGGCUCUUGAGGGCAGGAGAGGGAGGCGGAAUUCCCGGUGGAGCGGUGGAAUGCGUAGAUAUCGGGAGGAACACCAGUGGCGAAGGCGGCUUCCUGGCCUGCAUCUGACGCUGAGGAGCGAAAGCUAGGGGAGCGAACGGGGAUUAGAGACCCCGGUAGUCCUAGCUGUAAACGAUGGAUACUAGGUGUUGGGGGUAUUGACCCCCCCCCCCGAGUGUCGCAGCUAACGCGUUAAGUAUCCCGCCUGGGGACUACGGCCGCAAGGCUA
rnacentral:rRNA from 1 species